rnacentral:rRNA from 1 species
GACGAACGCUGGCGGCGUGCUUAACACAUGCAAGUCGAACGGAAAGGCCCUGCUUUUGUGGGGUGCUCGAGUGGCGAACGGGUGAGUAACACGUGAGUAACCUGCCCUUGACUUUGGGAUAACUUCAGGAAACUGGGGCUAAUACCGGAUAGGAGCUCCUGCUGCAUGGUGGGGGUUGGAAAGUUUCGGCGGUUGGGGAUGGACUCGCGGCUUAUCAGCUUGUUGGUGGGGUAGUGGCUUACCAAGGCUUUGACGGGUAGCCGGCCUGAGAGGGUGACCGGCCACAUUGGGACUGAGAUACGGCCCAGAAUCCUACGGGCGGCAGCAGUGGGGAAUAUUGCACAAUGGGCGGAAGCCUGAUGCAGCAACGCCGCGUGCGGGAUGACGGCCUUCGGGUUGUAAACCGCUUUCGCCUGUGACGAAGCGUGAGUGACGGUAAUGGGUAAAGAAGCACCGGCUAACUACGUG